rnacentral:rRNA from 1 species
UACAGAGGGGGCUAGCGUUAUUCGGAAUUAUUGGGCGUAAGGGGCGCGUAGGCGGCCAUGCGUGUCUUCCGUGAAAUCCCUCGGCUUAACUGAGGACGUGCGGAAGAAACUGCAAGGCUCGAGUCCGGGAGAGGGGGGUGGAAUUCCCAGUGUAGCGGUGAAAUGCGUAGAUAUUGGGAGGAACACCGGUGGCGAAGGCGGCCCCCUGGACCGGUACUGACGCUGAGGCGCGAAAGCGUGGGUAGCAAACGGG